rnacentral:rRNA from 1 species
UCGGCAGAGGCACGGCAUACAGCUCAGUAGCACGUGGCUAAUCUGCCCUUAGGACGAGAAUACCCCCGGGAAACUGGGGCUAAUUCGCGAUAGGCGAAGAACACUGGAAUGUGUCUUCACCUAAAAGACCCUACGUAAUGCUCGUAGAAGUCGCCUAAGGAUGAGGCCGCGGCCGAUCAGGUUGUUGGUGAGGUAAUGGCUCACCAAGCCUUUUACCGGUGCGGGCCGUGGGAGCGGGAGCCCGGAGAUGGGUACUGAGACAAGGACCCAGGCCCUACGGGGCGCAGCAGUCGCGAAACCUUUGCAAUACACGAAAGUGUGACAGGGCUAUCCCGAGUGCCAUCCGCUGAGGAAGGCUUUUACCCAGUCUAGAAAGCUGGGGGAAUAAGGAGAGGGCAAGUCUGGUGUCAGCCGCCGCGGUAAUACCAGCUCUUCGAGUGGUGUGGAUGUUUAUUGGGCCUAAAGCAUCCGUAGCUGGCUAGGUGAGUCCCUUGUUAAAUCCACCGAAUUAAUCGUUGGAUCGCGGGGGAUACUGCCUGGCUAGGGGACGAGAGAGGCAGACGGUAUUUUUGGGGUAGGGGUGAAAUCCUAUAAUCCCAGGAAGACCACCAGUGGCGAAGGCUGUCUGCUAGAACGCGCCCGACGGUGAGGGAUGAAAGCUGGGGGAGCGAACCGGAUUAGAUACCCGGGUAGUCCCAGCUGUAAACGAUGCAGGCUAGGUGUUUGGACGGCCACGUGCCGUUCUAGUGCCGCAGGGAAGCUGUUAAGCCUGCCGCCUGGGGAGUACGAUCGCAAGAUUGAAACUUAA